AGUGAACGCUGGCGGUAGGCCUAACACAUGCAAGUCGAACGGCAGCACAGUAAGAGCUUGCUCUUACGGGUGGCGAGUGGCGGACGGGUGAGGAAUACAUCGGAAUCUACUUUUUCGUGGGGGAUAACGUAGGGAAACUUACGCUAAUACCGCAUACGACCUACGGGUGAAAGCAGGGGAUCUUCGGACCUUGCGCGAUUGAAUGAGCCGAUGUCGGAUUAGCUAGUUGGCGGGGUAAAGGCCCACCAAGGCGACGAUCCGUAGCUGGUCUGAGAGGAUGAUCAGCCACACUGGAACUGAGACACAGUCCAGACUCCUACGGGAGGCAGCAGUGGGGAAUAUUGGACAAUGGGCGCAAGCCUGAUCCAGCCAUACCGCGUGGGUGAAGAAGGCCUUCGGGUUGUAAAGCCCUUUUGUUGGGAAAGAAAAGCAGCAGGUUAAGACCCCGCUGUUCUGACGGUACCCAAAGAAUAAGCACCGGCUAACUUCGU
rnacentral:rRNA from 1 species